rnacentral:piRNA from 1 species
UCCACUCUGUUUCUUGUAGAGCGGGACUGU